AGUACUGUGGCCGAGUGGUUAAGGCGUUGGACUUAUGUUCCAGUGGACAACAAUAGGCGUGGGUUCGAACCCCACUCGUACUA